rnacentral:misc_RNA from 1 species
GAUGAAGAACGUAGCGAAAUGCGAUAACUAAUGUGAAUUGCAGAAUUCCGUGAAUCAUCGAGUCUUUGAACGCACAUUGCGCCCCCUGGUAUUCCGGGGGGCAUGCCUGUCCGAGCGUCAUUGCUGCCCAUCAAGCACGGCUUGUGUGUUGGGUCCUCGUCCCCCCCGGGGGACGUGCCCGAAAGGCAGCGGCGGCACCGCGUCCGGUCCUCGAGCGUAUGGGGCUUUGUCACCCGCUCUGCAGGCCCGGCCGGCGCUGGCCGACACGAAAGCAACCAUUUUUUCUCCAGGUUGACCUCGGAUCAGGUAGGGAUACCCGCUGAACUUAAGCAUAUCAAUAAGCGGAGGA